UGCAGAUACAAACAAGUGAGACAAGGGAUCAUGGCCUGUCGAUUCUAUGCUGGAAUGUGGAAGGACUAAGGAAACACUGAGAUUCGACACAACC